rnacentral:rRNA from 1 species
CCUACGGGAGGCAGCAGUGAGGAAUAUUGGUCAAUGGCCGGAAGGCUGAACCAGCCAAGCCGCGUGAAGGACGAAGGUGCCAAGCAUUGUAAACUUCUUUUGUCAAGGGACAAAAUCAGGCUCGAGAGCCUGACCGAGGGUACUUGAAGAAAAAGCAUCGGAUAACUCCGUGCCAGCAGCCGCGGUAAUACGGAGGAUGCGAGCGUUAUCCGGAUGUAUUGGGUUUAAAGGGUGCGUAGGCGGGCUGUUAAGUCAGCGGUAAAAAGCCGGGGCUAACCCCCGGCGAGCCGUUGAAACUGGCUGUCUUGAGAUGUCGAGAGGUAUGUGGAAUGCGCGGUGUAGCGGUGAAAUGCUUAGAUAUUGCGCAGAACUCCGAUUGCGAAGGCAGCAUACCGGCGGCGAUCUGACGCUGAGGCACGAAAGCGUGGGUAUCGAACAGGAUUAGAUACCCGGGUAGUC